rnacentral:lncRNA from 1 species
CAACAUCUACCCCCAAUCAAUUGUGAGGUCAGACCAGGAAGACAGAGGCCAAACCCAGCAUCACACUUUGACCUGCCCGGGAACACAGUGGCUCCUGGGAAAUAACCACUAAAGUCUUGAAAUGUCUUGAGUGAUUGGAGGACCUUUAUUUUUCACGCCUGAUGCCUUAUGCUGAUGAGAUGACUCAGCAGGGGAUGGCCAGGCCAGAAAGACCAAAACUGUAUCCUGAGGUUUGAGUUUCUGAGCCAGGUGAUGUCAUCCUCCAGCUUGGCCGGCCUCUUUCUGGGAGCCUCUGGUGUGAAAGAGAGCAGUGCUUGCCUUUCCCAUGUCUAGGAGUUUGCCUAAAUCUUCAAAGAUAUGUGAGGCUUGCCUAGAACAUCAUCAUCAGGAAUGCUGGUCCUUCAAUUUGUUUUUUGAAUUGAAGUGUAGUUUACAGUGAUCAAGUUGAAAAUAAGGCUCUGCAUGAAAGCUAACUAUUAAAAGGGUGUGGGCACAGGAGCAACCAACACAGACCCCACAGAAUCCCAAACCUAUGCUAAGAGGGAGCACUUCCAUCCCUCCAAACCUGUGCUAAGAGGGACACCUCCAUCCUUCUAAGCCUGUGCUAAGAGGGAACACCUCCAUCCUUCCAAACCUGUGAUAGGAGGGAGCAUCUCCAUCCUUCUGAACCUGUGCUAAGAGGAAACACCUCCAUCCUUCCAAACCUGUGAUAGGAGGGAGCACCUCCAUCCUUCCGAACCUGUGCUAAGAGGGACACCUCCAUCCUUCCAAGCCUGUGCUAAGAGGGAGCACCUCCAUCCUUCCAAACCUGUGAUAGGAGGGAGCACCUCCAUCCUUCCAAGCCUGUGCUAAGAGGGAGCACCUCCAUCCUUCCAAACCUGUGAUAGGAGGGAGCACCUCCAUCCUUCCGAACCUGUGCUAAGAGGGACACCUCCAUCCUUCCAAGCCUGUGCUAAGAAGGAGCACCUCCAUCCUUCCAUCUGGCAACCCCACAUCUUUCUGUGCAGCAUUGGCUCAUGGAGUUUUGCACAAUCUGUUGCCUUAAUGCAGCUGUGAGGUGGUAAACCCCAUGCCAUUGCACAGCUGUGCUGGUGGAGUCUUCAACAACAGAGGGAUGAAACGAGAGUGCUGAGUGAUGGGUGGAGUGUGCUCACAGAAGCCAGCUGUGCUUGCCCCACUCCCACCCAAAAUGUUUACCCACGUGGGAAAUGCCUGCCCUGCAUAGGAGUACCCAAGGAACCCAGGAUAUAAAGAAACUUCUAAAAUGGAUCUGAAAGGGGGAAGAGCCCUCCCCUGUAAGGAAGCGAGAGAGAUUUAUUAAAAAUCAUCAACUUCAAAUUAUUUGGAUGGAAACAUUGCCAAAUCAUAGAGAUGUUUGCUACCACCCGCACACCAAGCAGCUGGGUAACUAGAAGUGCAGGAUCAGCUUAUUCACCUCCGAAAGCCUGCAUGCAACCACUGAGGCCGCCUCUAUUUUUUACAUAGUUCUACUUGGUGUAUGUAACCCCACAGAGAAACCUGGAAGAAUGCAUGAAACCUAGUAAGGCAACCAGCACAUGCAACAGAAUGAACCGUUUCUUUCCAUCUGAAUGCCUAAAUGUGGACUCUGAUCCUUUCUACCAAGUCCUAAGUUUGGGAAAAGAGGACAAGGACAGGGGCUCUGUCCCAUAUCAUAAUGUGCUUGUGAAUGGCUAAAAUUACAAUGCUGAGAUAAGUGUGUGUAAUAAAAUAAUUGCACCCCGAAUUGAAGAAUGUUUCACUGUUUAUUUUCAUGUUUCAAUAUAUGACACCCUGUGGUGGAAAGAUGUCUUUAUGCUG